rnacentral:misc_RNA from 1 species
GUGAAUUGAAUAUGUUAGCGGACCUCUUCGGAGUCGGACCUCUUCGGAGUCCCUAGCAUCAAAUCAUAUCCAUAACACCUGUGAACUGUAAGGCUGUCUUGAAAACGAAAGUGAUUAGAGCGCCUGCCCAUUUUAUACAAACAUUAAAGUAACAAACGUAGUCUUAUUAUAAUCUAAUA